UGGGCGAAAGCCUGACGGAGCAAUGCUGCGUGGAGGUAGAAGGCCUACGAGUCAUGAACUUCUUUUCCCGAAGAAGAAGCAAUGACGGUAUCUGGGGAAUAAGCAUCGGCUAACUCUGUGCCAGCAGCCGCAGUAAUACAGAGGAUGCAAGCGUUAUCCGGAAUGAUUGGGCGUAAAGCGUCUGUAGGUGGCUUUUUCAGUCCGGA